rnacentral:sRNA from 1 species
CUAUUGAUUUAAGUACUUUUCUUCUCUUUUCUCACUGCUUUUUCUAUCUCUCUUCACUUCUUUUCUCUCAUAAUCUUCUUCAGUGCUCUCUUCUCUCUCUCUCUCUGAGUUUGUGCUGGGUCAUGUGACUGCAAAAUGCCACAGAUGACACAGUCUUUUCUUCACUUCUCUUUUUAUUUUUCUUUUCAGUAUACUUAUUUUUCUUUUUUUCUUUUAUCUAUCUCAUCUGUCUUUCUUCUAUUAUUAGAAGUGCAGAUAGUUCUCAGAUCAACUGAGAAAGUUAUUUCUCUCUGUUCACUAUAAAGUCUUUCAGACACAGCAGCAGCAGUUCUCUUGGAAAUCACACUAUAGCUUCAUCAUAAAUGGCUAUACAUCAGAUCAGAAGUGAAUGUACAGCUUGGAAAAAUCCUUUUCAAUGAGCUGAAUCUUCUUAAGAAUUGUCAUCUAAAUUCUGUUUUCUCUCUCUCUGUGUAUAUAGAAAUCUCUUCAGUGUAGCACAUCUCCAUACUCUUUGAAAGGCUUCUAAAACACAGGCACUGCCUGUGUUUUCUCCGGGAUCUUAAAUCAAUACAAACAAACAAACAAACAGAUUCAAUUCUGCCAUUGCAAGUUUAUGUAGAAUGGCAUCAUAGCUUAACUCUUUCAAUUUGAUUGCAUAUUUAUUGAAUUCUCAGUG